AGGAGGAACAACCGCAGUGGCGGGGCCAGCUCUGGAGCCCUGGAGUCAGCUCCCCCAGUAACUCCGGAGCUCUCCGUCUGCAGGGCCUGGAGGCUCCGGGGCGGG
rnacentral:pre_miRNA from 1 species